rnacentral:rRNA from 1 species
UACGUAGGGGGCGAGCGUUGUCCGAAGUUACUGGGCGUAAAGCGCGCGUAGGCGGCUUUUUAAGUCUGGGGUGAAAGGUUCUGCGCUUAACGUGAACAGUGCCCUGGAGACUGGAAGGCUUGAGUGUGGGAGGGGGCAGUGGAAUUCCUGGUGUAGCGGUGAAAUGCGUAGAUAUCAGGAGGAACACCGAUGGCGAAGGCAG